UACAACGCACUACCUGUUCAUAGUAGUCGUUGCUGUCAACAGCACACUGCUCCCCAUCAACGCAGGGGACUACAUCUUCUCCACAGACUGGGCGUGGACGGCCUUCGUUGUGUUCUCGGUGUCCCCUGCGACCAUGCUAGCUGUAGUCGCCAUCUACUACCUUUCAUUCACAGGUGUUCACACCCACGAAACCUAUUCUGACCAUAUCUAUCCCAUCUACACAUGGUUGUCAAUGCGCUCAUUGUGUUGACUUGAGAUCCACUUCGUCUACGUCGGGGCACAAAGACGCACCAAGCACGCUGCCAUACUAAUUGGAGGUACGCUGGUUGGCCUAUCCUUCCCGUUGUUCCACAUGGUAAACCUGUUGGUUGUAAGGGACCCGCUCGAGGUGGCCUUCAAGUAUCCGAGACAGACACUGCCCGCGUACAUGACGCCUAUAGAGCCUCAGGUAGGGAAGUUCUACAACUCGCCUGUCGCCCUGGGUUCAGGUGCCGGUGCAGUGCUAACGGUACCCAUCGCUGCGUUGGGUGCAAAACUAAACACGUGG
rnacentral:rRNA from 1 species